UAGCGCCUGCAUCGGAUCGAGCGACCUUGACUCGAUUGGGCCGGCGAGAUAGGGGCGUGGCGUUGGGAGAUGCGGCCGCUCUGCUCCGACUCCGGCCGGCUCGAUCUGGAGCGCCGCCAUUAUCCCCCGAACUCUAGUUGACUAAUUUCUCUCUAUUUGGCACGCUGCUCUCUAAUUCCAGCAGCAGGCCUGCCAGAUUCCGCUCGUGCUAGAGAUGGUCGAGGCCUCGAUGGCAUCAAUUCCGCGUGAGGCACUACACAGCUGAAGAAUUGGAAAAUCAUGGCCACGACUGAAUUCCGCUCGUGAAAUAAGGCUCGCGGUGGAGCGGCCCAAGGCUCGGAAGACUCCAAUUGCUCUUCUUCAGAAGUUCGUGGAAGAAAAAAUUUCGGAUGGAAGAUCUCUGCAGGCCCGCCAUGGCCGCCCCUAGCUCCAUUGACGCGAUUGGGUCGUCCAUCUGGAUUCCCGGUUGCGUUGGGACAGCGAUGCAACUGGCGCAGCGCCGUCCGUGGCUGGGAAGAACUACUGUUUUGGCUAAUGGCUGGAUAUCUGGGCUAAUUAAUUGUUUAAUAUGUAUACUGGACGACUGUGUUGGGUGUUAAUGAGUGCAAAGCAGAGUGCUAUGUUGAAA